GACUNANGAGGUAGGCCCUGCCCAGUGCUCGCUAUUUGUAAACGGCCGCAGUACUCUAACUGUGCAAAGGUAGCAAAAUAAAUUGGCCCUUAAUUGGGGUCUAGAAUGAAUGGGUUGACAGGCUCUCAACUGUUCCAUUUCUACAUACUGAAAUUUAGAACUAGGUUCAAACUCCUAGAUUUGAGAGAGGGACGAGAAGACCCUAUAGAUCUUAAACCCAUCCACUUUUUUAUUGAUCAGUGGUGGGUUUUGUUUGGGACGAAACACAACAAAAACGUUUGAUAACAAGAAGACUGGUGGGUCAAAUUAAGGAUCCUCUUCCAGGAAAUAAAGAAUAAGUUACCUUAGGGAUAACAGCGCAAUACCCCAACCCGGACCUUAUGGGUUGAGGCGCUUGCGACCUCGAUGUUGAAUUAAGUUCUCCUUCUUACGUAGAAUGAAGAAAGGUUUGUCUGUUCGACAAUAAAAAACU
rnacentral:rRNA from 1 species